AUUGAACGCUGGCGGCAGGCUUAACACAUGCAAGUCGAGCGGAGAUGAGGUGCUUGCACCUUAUCUUAGCGGCGGACGGGUGAGUAAUGCUUAGGAAUCUGCCUAUUAGUGGGGGACAACAUUCCGAAAGGAAUGCUAAUACCGCAUACGUCCUACGGGAGAAAGCAGGGGAUCUUCGGACCUUGCGCUAAUAGAUGAGCCUAAGUCGGAUUAGCUAGUUGGUGGGGUAAAGGCCUACCAAGGCGACGAUCUGUAGCGGGUCUGAGAGGAUGAUCCGCCACACUGGGACUGGGACACGGCCCAGACUCCUACGGGAGGCAGCAGUGGGGAAUAUUGGACAAUGGGGGGAACCCUGAUCCAGCCAUGCCGCGUGUGUGAAGAAGGCCUUAUGGUUGUAAAGCACUCUAAGCGAGGAGGAGGCUACUGAGACUAAUAACUGCCAGCUGUGACGUUACUCGCAGAAGAAGCACCGGCUAACUCCGUGCCAGCCGCCGCGGUAAAAC
rnacentral:rRNA from 1 species